GGUGCAAACGUUGCUCGGAAUCAUUGGGCGUAAAGCGCACGUAGGCGGUUCGUUAUGUCGGAUGUGAAAGCCCUUGGCUUAACCGAGGAAGUGCAUCCGAAACUGGCGAGCUAGAGUACGAAAGAGGAUCGCGGAAUUCCCGGUGUAGAGGUGAAAUUCGUAGAUAUCGGGAGGAACACCGGUGGCGAAGGCGGCGAUCUGGGUCGAUACUGACGCUGAGGUGCGAAAGCGUGGGGAGCAAACAGG
rnacentral:rRNA from 1 species